UUUAAUAGAAAACAGAUGUAUUUCAAAAUAUUUGAUACAAUUUUUUGAUUACCUGACUUCUUAGCUUAUUGUUUAAUUAAUUACAAUGGCGUUGUUACUACUUGCACUCAGCACUCAAAUACUGCUACUAAUACUACUUCUACAACUAUUUGACUAUCCUAACAAUCACUACGAAGAAUUCUAACAAUAGUAAUGAUGAUAUGAUCCGAAUAACAAUAACAAAUGAGAUAUGUGGUGAUAUCAUGAGAGAAGCUAUGUAAUUGUUGUAAUCUGCAACGGCCGAAGCAAAGUUGACACCAUGUAACCUUUGUUCAAUAUUCGAUUCUUUUUUUAGAACACCUGAUAUAGUGUUUCAUAUACCCAUCAGAUCAUCUGAAAAAGAAAAAAACUACCAUUCAUUAUUGAAUUAUACCAAGUUCUAGUUCUAUUUGGUGCAUAGUAUAUUACUCAGUUAUUGACCAUCCAAUCUCGAAAACAAGUGGUAGAGAUUUGAUGGAAACUAUACUUGCUUAGGUUUCGCCAUUAAAUAAAAUGUUAAAUCGCAACCAUCAGUUAUGGACCAUUGGUGUUAUGUGUUCCUAUGUAUUGUGGACACUAUAGUUUAUAGCAUACAUGUACAAGAAAAAGAAAUUGACAAAUUCAUGCAAAAAGUAAAAAGAAAUAAAUAGUUAAAAUAUAUAAAAUUAUCAAUCUUUACCUAUAAAAUUGAUAAGGAAUCUGGUAUCUUUCUCGUGGGACGAUAACCAUCAAAGUGGCAGGAGUUUAGAGGGAUGUAUUGUGGUUGUUUUCAUGUCAUGUGAUGUAUACUCCUAAUCGCAUCACCAUCACUAAUACUACGAUAUCACGUAUAUUUCUAAAAAUAUGCAUCCAUUAGCAUGUAUACCAAUAUUAGAUAUAUAUAGACCACUGAAAAAAUUUGAAACCUAAUUAAAUGUUCAAUCCUAUUAGAAAAUUUAAAGCCUAAACAUUUAAAACCUAAACAGUUCUACUUAGGAAAGUGAGAGUCUAUCUCGGCAAUUAGAGUCAUAUUAGGACAUUGCAAGCGAUUAGUGCGUCUGUAAGAGAAAUUCUCGUGUAUUUAUACUUCUUUAUAUUUCAAGGCAUAGAAAAUACAUUAGAAAAUCAAUAGAUAAUUGAGGGAUAAUCCUUAAUCAUAAAGAUUAAGGAUUUCAAAAUCGAAAGAUAAACUUUAAUCGAGAGAUAAUGAUUAAUCUUAAAUAUGAUAAAAAAACAAACAGGUAUGCCACCUCAAGCUUGAUCAACUAGUAAUGUUCAAACUAACCAAAGCAACGUAUUCAACUCAAAAAGGAAAUAAAAAAAGGCAAAAAAAAAAAAGAAAAAGAAAAAAAGAUUUCCAUAUAAGAGGAUGAAAAAGCAAAUAGUCAAGAUCUUUAUUUUUUACAUAAAAUUAGGUUCCAGACACUUAAACCGUAAAAGAAUUGAAAGAGAUUAAAUGAGAGAAGAUUUUCUUUUGAUUUUUGGUGAAUAAAAAUACCAAUUAACCUCUUUUUUAGAAUAAAAAGGGAGAAAACUGACAAUUAGGAUUGGAUUAGGACUGAUAUAGAUAACAAUGGAAAAGGAAUUGAAGGAGUCUAAGUAAAAAUCAGAAUUUGGGAGAGAUGAGAUGUUAUUGUUUAUAAAGGAUUUGAGUGUUUGGAAUUUUAGCCACUAUAGAACUAAGAAAAAAACUUAAAAAAAAAGUGAAAAUAUUUUCAUACUCUCUAUUUUUAAGUUUCAUUUCACGGGAUAUCAAAGAUUUUAAAAGAUAUCUUAGGGCAUAAAAAUUGUAUAUUUUAUUUCUUCUAACCCCCGAGCUAAUUUAAACCUGUUUUUUUAACUCAAACAAAUCUAAAAAGACAUGUCUUUUUUAAAAACCAUCCUCCCAAACUUCUAAAGAGAAAAAAGGGUUUCAUGGAGGUGAGCAUAAAAAUUGUAUAUUUUAUUUUUUCUAACCCCUGAGCUAAUUUAUAUUUGUUUUUUUAAGCCAAAUAAAUCUAAAAAGACAUGUUUUUUCUAAAAGUCAUCUUCCCAAACUUCUAGAGAGAGAAAAGGGUUUUAUGAAGGUGAGAGAUUGUUGGGAGAAAGAAAAAGAAAAGUUUGAAGUAUAUAAACGAAGAGAGAGAAAUGAUUGGGUUUAGAAAGAGCACGUUUUUUUCACAUUUGUUUAGGUUAAAAAAUAAGUUUAAAGUGGUUAGGGGUUAGAAGAUAUGUUUUGAAACCUUGGUUUUAUCGAUAAAUAAAACUUAAAAUUAGAAAAUAUGGAUAUAUUUUCCCAAAAAAUAAUGUUGAAGAAAAAAAAUGAGUUAGAUGAAAAAUAAUAGGUAUUUCAAUAAUAAUUUUACAUCUAGCGUACCAUCCCAUUAGCAGCAAGAUUUUAAAAUUUUAGAAAAUGGUAAAGAUGAAAGAUUAUGUGCUCACUCCUAACGGCGCAACCCAAUGUAGGAGAAUUGGACCCCAAAUAUUAGGAUGUAAAUUCGAAAAAAGAAAAAGGAAAAAUUAUACUCUAUAAAUAACUUUAAGCUAGUAAGAAUUCAAAAGUUAAGAAAGAGUCGUCCAUUACUUUUACUUUAAAUAUUAAAACUAAAGAAAUUAGAAUGAAUUAGAAAUUUCUAUUUCUCCGAAUGCUAAGAAAAUUUAUUUCUUAAUAACUCCAUUAUUCAAUGAAAUAUCCCACUUCAAGCCUUAUGCUACCUUAGAAGAAAAUCACUAUUUAACUAAAUGAAUUCUAAGUUAUUUCCUGAAAAUAUAUAAUCAAAGCUUAUAAGUCUUAGUUUCCGAAUCUCGGGUAGUAGUUGGUAUUUCUUUUGACCCUAAAUACUUUGCUUUUCAAGGAAAAAAAAAAAAAAAAAAUCCUUCCUCAGAAUAAAUAACUUCCACAAAGUAAGCAAACAGAUGCAAGAAGCAGCAAAUAUUUCAAAUUACAAUAAAUUUGAUUCAUAAAACUUGACAAAAUAUUGUUUAGAAUUGUACAAGUUCAAGAAAAUGUGAAAAACUUUGAUGUGAUUUUCCUUUUAUGUUUGAAAGUAUGAUAAAGCUGUCAAAAAUACUGAACUUCACGUGGACUCAUAAUAAUAAUAAUAUUCUCUCGCAGGAUAUUUAGAUUGUAUGGCUCUCCUCUUCCUAAAAAUUUUCCACGACCUUGAAUGAAAUCAAAAAGAAAAUCUCAUUUGUUAUCUUGAAAGUAAAAUUUUUUCUAUUGCAUUCGGUAAGCCUUAUUUAUUGAUAAAAACAUGAAGCAAUAGGAAAAAACAUUAUUGGUUAAUAAUGACAAUUAACAUUAUUAAUCAAGUUUCUAAUAAUCAACGGAUAAUGAUCAUAAUAGUUUUUUAUAUAUUGCGUUUGAACACAACUUAUGAUUUUAACAAUGUGUUAAAACAUUUUUAGUUAAUUUUUAUAUUAAGGAACAUUGGCAUAUUGACCCAAUAUGAAUUUCACUCUAAUAAGAAGACAAAGAAAGCUUAAUAUGGAUUGUUGUAUCAAAUUAUUUCUCUAUGUUUUUGGACGAUGCCUUAUUACUAACUAAUAUGUAUAAAGUAAAAGAUUAUUUAAAAUUAAUAUACCUUUUUAGUCACCUCCAAUGCCCUAACAUAUUUUUUCAUCUAAUAUAAUCACCGAUCUUUUCAAUUAGCUAAAUAAACUCAUAUAUAACUUUUAGUUUUGAACGAUUU
rnacentral:lncRNA from 1 species